rnacentral:rRNA from 1 species
CCCCACUAUGCCAAGCCCUCAACCACAAUUUCUCAUAUUCGCCAGGGAACUACGAGCAAAACGCUUAAAACCCAAAGGACUUGGCGGUGUCCCAAAUCCCCCUAGAGGAGCCUGUCCUAUAAUCGAUGAUCCGCGCUAUACCAAACCAUCUUUUGCCAUUCCAGCCUAUAUACCGCCGUCGCCAACCCACCCCACAAGGGUGUCAAAGUGGGUACAACUGCCUAAACCACAAAUACGUCAGGUCAAGGUGUAGCUAAUAAGAUGGAAAGCGAUGGGCUACAUUUUCUAAAAUAGAACAUACGAACACCCUCAUGAAACUGAGGCUAGAAGGCGGAUUUAGUAGUAAAAUAAGAAAGAUUACCUAUUUUAAACCUGCAACUG